GUCUAGGAUACAAGAAAUUAAAAAAGAAAAGAGAGAGAAUGUGAAUAGUAGCAGAAGCAGGACACUGCAGGGGCAGUAGAUCUCCCAUCCAUUCAGGAGGCGCUUUUGAGUAUGAAUUUAUAUGAAUGGAGAUGUGAAGUUUGUAAGUUGGUAAUUGCAGUCAGGUGAGUGCUAUUUUACAAUAUAUAGUAUGAAUUUGCUUCUUAAUUGAUUCUUGUUCCUU
rnacentral:misc_RNA from 1 species